rnacentral:rRNA from 1 species
AAUCAACGCUGGCGGCGUGCCUCAGACAUGCAAGUCGAACGAUUAAAGCUCUCUUCGGGGAGUGUAUAGAGUGGCGCACGGGUGAGUAACACGUAAGUAAUCUACCUUUGAGUGGGGAAUAACGUCCGGAAACGGACGCUAAUACCGCAUAAUGCAGCGGCAUCGCAAGAUGACAGUUGUUAAAGAUUUAUCGCUUGAAGAGGAGCUUGCGGCAGAUUAGCUAGUUGGUAAGGUAAUGGCUUACCAAGGCUACGAUCUGUAACCGGUCUAAGAGGACGGUCGGUCACACUGACACUGAAUAACGGGUCAGACUCCUACGGGAGGCAGCAGUCGGGAAUUUGGGCAAUGGGCGAAAGCCUGACCCAGCAACGCCGCGUGAAGGAUGAAGUAUUUCGGUAUGUAAACUUCGAAAGAAUGGGAAGAAUCAAUGACGGUACCAUUUAUAAGGUCC